CACGUAGGCACCAAGCGUUGUCCGGAUUUAUUGGGCGUAAAGAGCUCGUAGGCGGUUCGGUAAGUCGGGUGUGAAAACUCUGGGCUCAACCCAGAGCCGCCACCCGAUACUGCUGUGACUCGAGUGCGGUAGGGGAGCGGGGAAUUCCUGGUGUAGCGGUGAAAUGCGUAGAUAUCAAGAGGAACACCUGAGGUGAAGACGGGUUGCUGGGCUGACACUGACGCUGAGGCGCGAAAGCCAGGGGAGCAAACGGG
rnacentral:rRNA from 1 species